rnacentral:lncRNA from 1 species
UCUAACAUGCAUUAACACCUAUAUUUUUAUUGCCCGACCUCAGAUAGUUGUGACCUUUACAUAAAUCCAAUUAUGAUUGCUUAACAUAGAGCUAAAUUUGACCGUCAAAGCAUAAAAUUCUAGUAAGUGAGAUUGUAAGUCUCUCAUUCUUCAUAGAAUUGUGUUGAGACUUGACCUUUUUUCCUUUCAUGAGAGCUAGUGGCAUACUUGUUGAAUUAUCCAAGUUGGAGCGCUUCUCAUGGAAGAUGUCUUGGUUCAAGAAUUCAUACUUGUGAAUGAAU